CCUACGGGAGGUAGCAGUAAGGAAUAUUGGUCAAUGGGGGCAACCCUGAACCAGCCAUGCCGCGUGCAGGAAGACGGCCCUACGGGUUGUAAACUGCUUUUAUACGGGAAUAAACCUCUCUUCGUGAAGAGAGCUGAAUGUACUGUAAGAAUAAGGAUCGGCUAACUCCGUGCCAGCAGCCGCGGUAAUACGGAGGAUCCAAGCGUUAUCCGGAUUUAUUGGGUUUAAAGGGUGCGUAGGCGGCCUAUUAAGUCAGGGGUGAAAGACGGUGGCUCAACCAUCGCAGUGCCCUUGAUACUGAUGGGCUUGAUUACACUUGAGGUAGGCGGAAUGUGACAAGUAGCGGUGAAAUGCAUAGAUAUGUCACAGAACACCAAUUGCGAAGGCAGCUUACUAAGGUGUUAAUGACGCUGAGGCACGAAAGCGUGGGGAUCAAACAGGAUUAGAUACCCUGGUAGUCCACGCCCUAAACCGAUGAAUACUCGAUGUAGUCGAUAUACUAGUUAGUACGUCGAACGACGAAGACGUCGAGUAUUACCUACCGUCGGGUAGGUACGGCCCGCCGACGGUAGGAACGUACGAAGUAAGUAGUAGUACGCGNGAGACGACGACCGACGACGACGACGGAGGGAGGAGG
rnacentral:rRNA from 1 species